rnacentral:lncRNA from 1 species
UGGCUCGCGACUACUUGUGCUGUAAUAAGAAGCGUGUCCAGGGGAUAAGGUUCAGACAAUAUUCAGGUCGUCGCGCUCGAGGAGGAUUCUGAAGAUCCCGGGAGCUCAACGCAUGUCAAUCACGUCGGCCGACGUGGUUGGCCGAUGUACACUAGCCGGCCGACGAAUCCGGCGGGUCGUCGGUCCGAUGAUGUCCCCUCACAUGGACGUGGUUGCAGACCCACACGUCCUACAUACCCGUCUCUCCG